GCGCCCGUAGCUCAGCUGGAUAGAGCGACGGCCUCCGGAGCCGUAGGUCGCAGGUUCGAAUCCUGCCGGGCGUG
rnacentral:tRNA from 1 species